AGUACUCGGAGGGAGGUGCUGAAAUCUUCAGAUUGCAUGAAAGACAAAGUCAUCAGCUAUAAAAUGAGUCCUGAGUCUAAAGCAGAUGCAGUAUUUCCCUCAAAAUUUACUAGCCUGAACGGGAGAGAACAGAAGCUGAUGUUGAUUUCCCCUCCCACUCUCCUUGUGCAAGUGAAGGGAGGCAGCCCACUGCACUCUGGAAGCAUCUCUGGCCCUUCAGGUGAAGAAGAGAGAGUCUGAGUGAAUGAAAGGUUAGUGCAUUUCUGUGACUUCUACAUCAAAAACAAAGGAGUUUGGACCUUUACGGAUGAGGGGGACCAUUGUAACUUGUUUCCCUACAGCACUUGUUCAGCUCAGAAUCAGCAGAGCUUGGAAGCCUCUGACACAUGGGUUGACCUGAGGGGGAAAAGAAGGAUGUAAUUGUGCCAAUUAAUCUGGAAAGGCAUCUGAGAGAGCAGUGCCCUUAAAGAAAGUCUGAUUCUCAUCUUCGUUACACUGGAGUAAAUCUUGAGCAAUGCUGCUGAAAUCAAAAGGUUGUCUUGUGCUUAUUGGUUAUCGCUAGGAUCAGAAUCUGGCCUUAUAUUAGUAAAUCAUCCUGGCCUAGCCUUAGUAAUUCUGCUGUCUAAGGGGAACAUCAAUACCAAUAAUUAUGUAAAAAAUAGGACUAUUUUUAGUAUUCAGUAUCAGGAUCUGCAGCGCGUACAUAUGUGAUUAGUAGGUUUAUUCUAAGGCCAGUUACAUUCUGCAGAGGAGCCAGGUCAUCAGAAAGUAAAGUAACAUGAUCUCCAAAGCCGAAUGGAGACGGUGGGCCAUCUACCAUUUUGGUCUGUUUUACAUUAAGAGAUCAGCUGGUCUGGGAAAGAGAAAAAUGUAGAACAGAAGUACAUUUCCUUCCUCCCUGAGGAGCGCGGGUGUUUGGGAGCGCCGGGGAGCGCUCCUGCGCUGCUGGCGUUGGCCGUGCCUCCUGUCCCGCCGGCAGAGGCAGAGCCAGCCUCUUGGCAGCGUCUUCUCGCGACGGGGCUGCAAGCCUGGGAUGGGGCGCAGGACCCGGCCUGCGGCCGUUGUCGGCACACUAUGGCGAGGAAGGAGAGCAGGGGCCUCUCGUCCUUACGGGCCCGCUUUCUGUUGCAGGUUUUACCAGAUGUAAUGGCAGACACGCUGACAGCAAACCUGUAGCUGUCAUAAUUUAAAUAAUCCCUGACUAAUUAAUGAACUGAUAAUUUUAGGAAGUAUUGAGUGGAUUGGAAGAUGCGGAGCCCCACUGAAACAAAAUAUUGAUUUGAUGCUUUUUAAUUUGUUAGAGAGUGUAAGGAGCGGUUCUGUUCACCUAUUUAUUCUUGACACAGCUAUUUAAUAUUGACCAGAAACAGGUCUGGGUGAGAGCUGUUAAAACAGAAGUGCCAGAUCCUGGAUACUUCUGUUCAUGGGAGGGAACAUUUGGAGGGAACCUAAGACCGAUCUGUGCCAUAGUCUGCUAGGCUGUUUAGAUCCAGGUUUUCCAAGCCUCUCCUUUUCCUAACUUGCCAGGUUAGGAAGCUGACAAUGUAUCCCAAGCAGUUUCUUGGAAUAGUUUCUGCAUAAGAAUAAUUUUUCAAAUGUAAAUCAGAACAGUGUGUCUUUGCCCCAGGCCGUUUCUCAAUCCCUGGCAGUAAUGAUAGCCUUACUGAGGAAAGGUUUUGCCCUGCUCUUAUACCUUAUUGCUGGAAACGUUAGAAAUCUUCUUCAACUUACAUAAUAAUACUUUAAAAAAGAGAAGGGAAGGGAAAGGAAGGGGAAAGGGGGAGGGGAGGUGGAAUUGGUUGCUACCACAUAUUGAGCAAGAGAAGUUCCUUUUUUAAAUUAUUUUGGAACGAUAGUAAGCCUUUGAAUCAGAGGUUAUGCUUUUAGCAUAAAGGAAAGGUUUGGGAAUCUUCGUCUCUUGGCUGCCUUUAGCAUAGUCACUUGUAUGGAUUCACUUGCUUGGUGUGCCAGGGGUCUAGCAUAAACUGCUAUAACCAAAAAUUUUCCACUUACUGCAGUGAGA